rnacentral:lncRNA from 1 species
GAAAAGUAAAUGAAACAAAACAAAGUAUAUAUGUGAUUUAAGUGAUAUAAUCCUAAACCUAAACUCUUAUUUAUACGUAAUUAUAUAUGUAUGCGGGCCUAGCGGGCUGGGCUUAAUCGGGCUGGGCUUCAGACACCCAAGCCCAAGCCUAGCCCUGUCCAAGGCGGGCCAGCCCAUCUCAAAGUCCAUAACGGGCCGG